UGCCUUCACUUGUUCCUUUUGUGACCUGCACCACCAGCUGAGGAAAUGAUACAGUUUACCAAGCAAUUCCAACAAAGGCUUUAAUUCUCAACUCUGUGAAGCUUUUCUAAACAUUACAUUUUGAGUUAUAUUUUAGCCAGAAACAACAAACACCUCCCAAACAAAAGCCAACUUGUUGAAUGGCACCAAAUGAAGUUGAGGAAAUUCAUUCUUCCGAGCAACAUUCCCACACCAUAAGUCCAGCCAAAAUCUGCUAUAGCAAUUACCAGCCAAAUUUUUUUGAAAAUCCAAGACACUCUCCAACAAAAUAUCAUCCACUCUCAGUACAGUCACCUAAAGCAAUUAACCACACUUUACACCAUGAUAUUCAGACCAGACACAGUUUCAAAACAUUGUAAACCUUCCUGGUGAACUCAGCUUCACAAGUUAUAAAAGUCAAACUUACUGCAGCAUCCAGUUUGGUUAAAAAGUAAAAAAUGCAGCUGAGAGUUUCCAUAACUAACAUUAAAAGCCAAGGAGAUGAAGCACUUGCUUGUCGUGAACCCGCAGACCUACCAGGGACUAAAGGGUUCCCCAUUAACAAUCACAGAAACCUUUAAAAGUACAGACAGAGAACUGAAUUACAAAUUUUUCACAUGAGGCUUACAAGAGACUCAUUCCAUCACUUUUUCAAUCUGGAAUCAAUCAAUUUGUUGCCCAAAGGGACAGCUUCCAGUAUCCACCUACCCCUGACAAAGGUAUUCUACGAACUCGAGAGUAGAGAUCAAACUUCCAAGUGCUUUUACAGCACCUUAAAAAUGAUACUGUAUUCACAACUCACCGAGCUUACAGGUCUAGCAUUCCUAACAUCAAAGGCAUCAUUUGUCCUAUGGUUCAAAACCACACACAUAUUCAUAUUUCCAUCAAAUUACCAUUGUAAUGAAAUUCCUCCAGCACCAGCAUAGCAUCUCUUUUCAUCAGAUCCCAACACUUAUUAGAAAGCUAAAUCAAAGCUACCAGGCCCUGGAGACUUGACAUAAAUUUGUUCCAAUGAUAGGGUAUGUCUAAAUUCAAUUUAUUCUAUAAUCAGCGAUGCAUCUUCCUUGUAACAUUGAGCUGCUGCCUUAGACCAUGUUUGGCUUGUGAAAGUAUAAAUUCCGAACAGCCAAAAAAGUUCUUUUAAGGAGCUUUUAAGCUAAUUAGCCAAACAUCCUCUUAAUCAACAGUCUCCACCCUCCAGGAAGAGAAAAAGAAAUGUCAGGCAGUGUAUGGGUGGUUAGCAAUGUAACUUCAAAUGAUAAGAGGCAUUGUGAGCAAUUGAAUCAGAGUUAAGAGGAGUGAGACAUUACUUAGCCCACUAUAAUUUAUGCACACUAAUUCAGCACCAAUCACUUUUCUACAAAAAUUCUACAUUAAAACUUUACUUGAAAAUCAAAUUGAGUUGGGGAUGAAACAACUGAAAAGUAACAAUUUACUAAAUCUUAGAAUCUCG
rnacentral:lncRNA from 1 species